rnacentral:tRNA from 2 species
GGUAGGAUGGCCGAGACUAGGCGGUGGGUUGUAGCCCCGAAGACAGAGGUUUAAAUCCUCUUCCUAUCA